ACGAGCGAGGGUCUACCCGGCCCGACCUCCCAACCCCCUGUUUACUCGACCACUGUUGCUUCGGCGGGCCCGCCUCCCUGGCCGCCGGAGGGCCACCCUCACCGGGGCGCACCCUCUGGCCCGCGCCCGCCGGCGCCCACACCUCAACUCUGAACCAUAAUCGUGUCUACAAUGCCUAAAUCUUUGAUUAAAUUAAACAACGCA
rnacentral:misc_RNA from 1 species